rnacentral:rRNA from 1 species
GACGAACGCUGGCGGCGUGCCUAAUACAUGCAAGUCGAACGCAGUGGGGACGGGUGAGUAACAUGUGGGUAACCUCCCAUCAGAGGGGAUAACACUUGGAAACAGGUGCUAAACCGAUACUGAUGGAUGGACCCUCGGUGCAUUAGCUAGUUGGUGGGGUAACGGCUCACCAAGGCCACGAGGCAUAGCCGACCUAAGAGGUUGAUCGGCCACACUGGGACUGGGACACGGCCCAGACUCAUACGGGAGGCAGCAGUAGGGAAUCUUCGGCAAUGGACGAAAGUCUGACAGAGCAACGCAGCGUGAGUGAAGAAGGUUUUCGGAUCGUAAAGCUCUGUUGUUAGAGAAGCGGUAUCUAACCAGAAAGCCACGGCUAACUACGUGCCAGACGCCGCGGUAAUAC